GCCGGUGUAGCUCAGUGGUAGAGCAGCUGUUUUGUAAACAGCAGGUCGUGGGUUCAAUUCCUAUCACCGGCUCCA
rnacentral:tRNA from 4 species